rnacentral:lncRNA from 1 species
UGUAGAACUUCUAAAGAGUUGUUAUGAUAUGACUUAAUCCACAUGAUUAGGAAGCAAGCGUAAAGGGCUUAUUGACUUCUGAAAUCAACAAGUUUAAUCAGGAAGAUGUGGGUUGAAGAUAUCUGGGUUAAGAUCAGACACACAAGUGUUGAACUUAUAGGGUGGUGAUAAGUUGCCGCAGAAGUUUUCUGAUGACCAUGUUGUGCUGUAGGACCACACUCAAAGGAGGGACAUCCAGAAUGUCCCUGAAGACAGCUGGUAGAAGUCCAGGAGAGCUUCCAAGAAACCAUCUCAGACUGAGGGGAGUCACAGCCACCUGGGCACAACCUCACUGCAUUCAGCGGCUCUUUUGCAAGAAUCACAUGGGAGAAAUACUGACCACUAGGCAAUGAGGAGACAACUAAGAAGUCCUUCAAGGUCUCAGGCUGCUUUUCAGAAGCAAACUACUAUGUAAUAACAGGCCAACACGGGAGGAAGUCGACAAACGCCACAAGGCAUGGUUAGUACUACUUUGAAAAUCACCGUUUCCUGUUUGCUAACAAACCUCCUUCUUUUCCAGGGUCCUUGCUCAAUCUUAACAGGUUUUGUUUGCCAGUGAGUGGCCUUAGGUUAAUUCACUCAAGCCAGUUGUUUUCAUUUUAUAUUUCUGAUCUCUGCCAGUCCCAUCCUUUUCUUCCUUUCCCUCUCAUCAACCUUC